rnacentral:rRNA from 1 species
AUACGGAGGGUGCAAGCGUUAAUCGGAAUUACUGGGCGUAAAGCGCACGCAGGCGGUCUGUCAAGUCAGAUGUGAAAUCCCCGGGCUUAACCUGGGAACUGCAUUUGAAACUGGCAGGCUAGAGUCUUGUAGAGGGGGGUAGAAUUCCAGGUGUAGCGGUGAAAUGCGUAGAGAUCUGGAGGAAUACCGGUGGCGAAGGCGGCCCCCUGGACAAAGACUGACGCUCAGGUGCGAAAGCGUGGGGAGCAAACAGGAUUAGAUACCCUGGUAGUCCACGCUGUAAACGAUGUCGACUUGGAGGUUGUGCCCUUGAGGCGUGGCUUCCGGAGCUAACGCGUUAAGUCGACCGCCUGGGGAGUACGGCCGCAAGGUUAAA